GGCUGGAUGGUGGAGUGGUCUAACACGCUAGUCUCAAGAAAUCCUUGACCCCGAAAAGGGGAGUUUACUAGUCUCGCAAGAGGCGUGGGUUCGAAUCCCACUCCAGUCA